CCUACGGGUGGCAGCAGUGAGGAAUAUUUGUCAAUGGGCGAGAGCCUGAACCUGCGAAGUCGCGUGAAGGAUGGUGGCCCUUCGGGUUGUAAACUUCUUUUGUCAGGGAGCAAUUGGGUCCACGCGUGGGCUUAGCGAAAGUACCUGAAGAAACAGCAUCGGCUAACUCCGUGCCAGCAGCCGCGGUAAGACGGAGGAUGCGAGCGUUAUCCGGAUUUAUUGGGGUAAAAGGGUGCGUAGGCGGAAUAUCAAGUCAGCGGUAAAAAUUCGGGGCUCAACCCCGUAGUGCCGUUGAAACUGAUGUUCUUGAGUGGGCGAGAAGUAUGCGGAAUGCGUGGUGUAGCGGUGAAAUGCAUAGAUAUCACGCAGAACUCCGAUUGCGAAGGCAGCAUCCCGGCGCCCAACUGACGCUGAAGCACGAAAGCGUGGGUAUCGAACAGGAUUAGAUACCCGUGUAGUC
rnacentral:rRNA from 1 species